GUCAGUCUCUGGAUAACGAUGAAAUCACUUAACAUUUGCUUUCUACUGCUGUUGUUGUUCGCCAGCUGUAGCUUCCUGCCGGCGAUCGAAGCAGGCGAUCAAACCUCCUCGCAGCACAUUCGCGAUGCCAAAGUGGGCAGCGUUGCCGAUAAGCAGAAGGCCAAACAGGUCCACCAGCAGCGGCAGAUAACCGGCGUGAGCAAGAAGAAGGGUUAGACGGGCUGGGUCGAAAAAAUUCUGCUAACACUGGUUUGAAUUUUCGCUCGGUGCCAACCCGCAGUUAAAAUGUGUAAAAGUUAAAAUGCAAUAAAUUUUGGUUUGAAAUUGGGCCCUGGAA